rnacentral:lncRNA from 1 species
CUAUNUAAUGCCAUCCAUUUCCCUGUAAAUUCUAUGAUUUUGUCAUUUUUUAAUGCAGAGUAAUACUCCAUUGUGUAUAAAUGCCACAUUUUGCCCUUCAAUAGAUGAAUGGAUGAUUUUUCUUAAUAAAGCACCAUCUCAGAAUUAUAUGUUUCAUUUGAAACCCAUGGAGUUCUGGGAGGGAGCUGGAAUGGAACAGACAGACAGACAUUACUGCCCUAUUGACUGGUCCUCUGGUUCUAGGAAUAUUUUAUGUAUGAACACAUGUAUAAGACAGCUAGACCCUAAAGGUCAUCUGCCUGAUAUUUAAAAUGCCAGUAUAUCCUGAAAUAUAUUCUAAAUGACAAAUGUAAAAACUGUAAAUAGCAUGGAUCCUAGUAAGUUUGGAAUAAUAACACUUGCAUAGUGGAAAGUCAAAUUAUAAGAUCAAACUUCUCAAGAACAGUCCUGUGUAUUGGGUAAAACAUGUACUGUUAUUUCUGUGAAUACAAAUACACAUAAAUGACAAAAAGCAAAAGAUACAGAAACUAAUAUUUGUAUAAAAUCACACAGUAAGUGAUAAAGCUAUGAUUCAACCUACUUUUCAUGUAGCUCAGUACUCAACUACUGUUCCACAUGACCCCAGUCCCCUGCCUGAAUCAGGCGGAUAAUGCAUAUAUAACAGGGUUUCUAGAAUAUAGUGGCCAUCUUUAUUGGUAGAAUAUGACUCUAGAUUUAUGGUUAAUGCUCCAUUAAUAAUAAAUGGCAAAGAAUACUUGAAUGCAGUUUUCCAGUCUUAGAACAACCAUUACCAUGUUCUAAGCCCUGUUUCAAAGUUCUGGCCAUCUUCAUGAGAUUGUCAAUGAGUGAAACUAAUAUUAAAUACUAUUUUUUCCCUAUAGCCUAUGGUGAACAAAUCUGAAGCCAGUCUAGGCAGAAUUUUAGUCUGUGAGGCUCAAUUUCAAAUGCAUUAAAAUUCAUUAUAGAUGUGUUUCAAUGUGUGCAUAAAUCAUAUAAUACAUCAAAGCUAUAGUUAAGAUUUUUUUUUCUAAAAA